AGGGAAUAUUGCGCAAUGGACGCAAGUCUGACGCAGCAACGCCGCGUGGGUGAUGAAGCUCCUUGGAGUGUAAAACCCUGUCAGUGGGGAAGAAACGUACGGGUAGUAACUGCCCCGUGCCUGACGGUACCCACAGAGGAAGUCCCGGCUAACUCCGUGCCAGCAGCCGCGGUAAUACGGGGGGGACUAGCGUUGUUCGGAUUUACUGGGCGUAAAGGGCGCGUAGGCGGACCUUCAAGUCGGAUGUGAAAUCUGUCGGCUUAACUGACAGUCUGCACCCGAUACUGUUGGCCUUGAGUACGGGAGAGGAGAGCGGAAUUCCUGGUGUAGCGGUGAAAUGCGUAGAUAUCAGGAAGAACACCGGUUGCGAAGGCGGCUCUCUGGACCGAUACUGACGCUUAAGCGCGAAGGCUUGGGGAGCAAAC
rnacentral:rRNA from 1 species